UAAGGAGGAUGCAAGCGUUAUCCGGAUUUACUGGGCGUAAAGCGUCUGCAGGUUGACCUUUAAGUCCUUUGUUAAAGCCUAAGGCCUAACCUUAGAUCAGCAAAGGAAACUAAAAGUCUAGAGUGUGGUAGAGGUAGAGGGAAUUUCCAGUGGAGCGGUGAAAUGCGUAGAGAUUGGAAAGAACACCGAUGGCGAAAGCACUCUACUGGGCCACAACUGACACUCAGAGACGAAAGCUAGGGGAGCAAAUGGG
rnacentral:rRNA from 1 species